UACGUAGGGUGCAAGCGUUAUCCGGAAUUAUUGGGCGUAAAGAGCUCGUAGGCGGUUUGUCGCGUCUGCUGUGAAAACCUAAGGCUCAACCUUGGGCUUGCAGUGGGUACGGGCAGACUAGAGUGCGGUAGGGGUGACUGGAAUUCCUGGUGUAGCGGUGGAAUGCGCAGAUAUCAGGAGGAACACCGAUGGCGAAAGGCAGGUCACUGGGCCGCA
rnacentral:rRNA from 1 species